rnacentral:rRNA from 1 species
AUUGAACGCUGGCGGCAUGCCUUACACAUGCAAAUCGAACGGUAACGGGCCUUCGGGUGCCGACGAGUGGCGCACGGGUGAGUAAUACAUCGGAACGUGCCCGAUCUUGGGGGAUAACGAGGCGAAAGCUUUGCUAAUACCGCAUACGAUCUACGGAUGAAAGCCGGGGACCGCAAGGCCUUGCGCGGACGGAGCGGCCGAUGGCAGAUUAGGUAGUUGGUGGGAUAAAAGCUUACCAAGCCGACGAUCUGUAGCUGGUCUGAGAGGAUGAUCAGCCACACUGGGACUGAGACACGGCCCAGACUCCUACGGGAGGCAGCAGUGGGGAAUUUUGGACAAUGGGCGCAAGCCUGAUCCAGCCAUGCCGCGUGCAGGAUGAAGGCCUUCGGGUUGUAAACUGAUUUUGUACGGAACGAAAAGCCUUCUUUUAAUACAGGAGGGUCAUGACGGUACCGUAAGAAUAAGCACCGGCUAACUACGUG